CUGGCGGCGUGCCUAAUACAUGCAAGUCGAGCGGACGAUUCAAAAGCUUGCUUUUGAAUCGUUAGCGGCGGACGGGUGAGUAACACGUGGGCAACCUGCCCUGUAGACGGGGAUAACACCGAGAAAUCGGUGCUAAUACCGGAUAACACGAAGAACCGCAUGGUUUUUCGUUGAAAGGCGGCGCAAGCUGUCGCUACAGGAUGGGCCCGCGGCGCAUUACCUAGUUGGUGAGGUAAUGGCUCACCAAGGCGACGAUGCGUAGCCGACCUGAGAGGGUGAUCGGCCACACUGGGACUGAGACACGGCCCACACUCCUACGGGAGGCAGCAGUAGGGAAUCUUCCGCAAUGGACGAAAGUCUGACGGAGCAACGCCGCGUGAGCGAAGAAGGCCUUCGGGUCGUAAAGCUCUGUUGUUAGGGAAGAACAAGUACCGCAGUCACUGGCGGUACCUUGACGGUACCUAACGAGAAAGCCACGGCUAACUACGUGCCAGCAGCCGCGGUAAUACGUAGGUGGCAAGCGUUGUCCGGAAUUAUUGGGCGUAAAGCGCGCGCAGGCGGUUCCUUAAGUCUGAUGUGAAAGCCCACGGCUCAACCGUGGAGGGUCAUUGGAAACUGGGGGACUUGAGUGCAGAAGAGGAGAGUGGAAUUCCACGUGUAGCGGUGAAAUGCGUAGAGAUGUGGAGGAACACCAGUGGCGAAGGCGGCUCUCUGGUCUGUAACUGACGCUGAGGCGCGAAAGCGUGGGGGAGCAAACAGGAUUAGAUACCCUGGUAGUCCACGCCGUAAACGAUGAGUGCUAAGUGUUAGAGGGGUAUCCCCCCUUUAGUGCUGUAGCUAACG
rnacentral:rRNA from 1 species